ensembl:lncRNA
AUGAGUGAGUUCAGCUUUCAGAAUGAAAACCAACCUGUUUGUUCCUCAGUAUCUUCAUGUUUGACUCUGAAUGUUUCUUCACUCUUUAUGUCUUCACUCUCAAACACCAUCUUUGUUUGUUUCUCAGUAUCUUCAUGUUUGACUCUGAAUGUUUCUUCAAUCUUAAUGUCUUCACUCUCAUCUUUAAUAAACUCCAUUUUUAUAAUAGUGUCACAUCGAUCUCAGUUGCUUCACAGAGUUUUUCUGUGUAUUUGGACACCUUUUCCUGUUUAAGAAAAGAGAAUAAUUAACAGAAAGAAAAAUAAAUCCAAACUAAAAUUAUAGUUGCGUCUCAACUAGCGCCCUAGUUCUGUAGUCAGCACACUGGUAAGGGAGUCACUAAGAGUGAGAGUUAAUGGCCUUAAUUUACCUGAAGAAACACAAGUUAAAGGGACACAAGUUAUAUGGAAGGUUCAUAUUUGUAUUAAGCUUCAUAUUUGGUAUUUACUAAUUUGUAGGUAAUAUUUAAUAAAUUCCACUUUCACGAAAACGUUUGCAGUUGAUUUGUAAAUGUCAUUAUUUCAUUUACACUGAUUUGAGCAGCAGGUCACGUCAGCGUGCGGUGAUUCAAACGAUUCAAAACAGUGAAUCAUUUCAGUUGUCUCAGAGAUCCGAAAAGCUCCAUUUCAUGAUAUCUUUAUUUCAGACUCAAAAAGGUCUAUAUAUAUAUAUAUAUAUAUAUAUAUAUAUAUAUAUAUAUAUAUAUAUAUAUAUAUAUAUAUAAAAAAGAACAGCAUACAACAUGAAUAACAACAACAAACAACAAGAAAAUAAUCUAAUGUCCAUCUAAGCACUUUCUCCAGUGCCUCCCAAGUGCAGAGGUGUACCUAACAGUGCUCUUCUCUAAGAUCACGGUUUCAUUUUUAGAGGCCUCAAGUCACUUUAUAAAUUUAUACACAAAAUUUCUGAUAACAGCAUAUAACAUGUGCACCUGAUUCUGAACAAAAAGCUGACUGGCACUUGUCCACCGAGGGACUUUUAUUAAGAGUCGCAAUGCAUCAUUGUAAGCAACCUGCAACUGGUUAAAUUUAGCUUUAUUGUAACUGCACCACAAGUGGGCAGUAUACAGUGGCGUGCAAUAGGCUUUAAACAAAGCUAUUUUGACAUCAUCAGUACACAUGCUAAAUUUAUGAACAAGCAUGUUAGCUUGUGCAUACAGUUUACAAUACUGUCUCUGAAUGUCAUCAUCGUCACAAAGGUAACUUCUAAUGAUGUGACCAAGAUAUUUGACCUUAUUCACCACAGAUAACUCCUGUCCAGCCAAAUAUAACAACACUCUUUUUUGUGGUAAACUUUAAAUCAUAUUGCUCACCAUAGUCAAAGCAGACUCUAAGCAACUGUUGCAGCCCAGCAGAGUAAGGUGACAUUACAACUAGGUCGUCUGCAUACAGUAGAUGGUCCAGAAGUCUUUCUCCCACCAUGCAGUCAGUCUUAAAGUUUUUAAUUCUUUGAAUAAGAUCGUCCAUAUAAAGGUUGAAGAGCAUGGGUGACAAUAUUCCACCGCCUAACCCCAUUUGUCACAAAAAAAAGGCUUUGAUGUUGUCGUUCCCCAUCGAACUUGCAUUGUUUGGUGAGUGUACCAAAAAUGCAGAACCUGGACUAGGUAUGGGGGAACUCCUCGCUGCUGUAAUUUUACAAAUAGCUUUCCAUGAUUAAUGCGGUCAAAGGCUUUGGAGGCAUCUAAAGCCCCUUUCACACUGAGAUUCCGGAUAAUACAUAGGUAAUGUGUCCCGGCAAUUGUUCCCGGAUCGUUAGAUUUUGAUUCAUUCACACUGCCAGUGAUUUCCCGGAAUCGCUAUAGAUGACCUUCCUUCUGAUUCGCGAUUAUAAAAAAAGUGAAAGUGAACUGCAUGGGAUCGAAUCAAAUUCGACCACGUCGUCCUGUGACCACGAAAAAUAACCCCUCGAUAAAGUAUCGAAUAAAUACAUCGAGGUUAAGAACACACUAAACAGCGAUGUUUUAAUGCAACAUGUCCGAGGAAGUAACGUUCAGCAACUUCCUUCACAAACUCCCAAGAAACAUGUCGACCAAGUAAAAUGGACGUGUUAAACAAUUUACUACCCUACCAAUACAAUUUUCGUGUGUAAAUAAAGCAGAUUGAACUCAUUUUCUAGUAGUUUUAAUCAACUUGGUGGGGGGCAAAUAUGUUUCUAAGACGUUUAAUGCACGCAUGACGCGAAAUUUCAUCACUAAUAACAUCGAAAUGCUUGAAACAUGCUUAAAUUCUCACUUGUUUUUCACUUAGAGAUGUUAUUCUGCUUUGCGUUCACACACAACCCGUAAAAGUCCCGUAAUGACACGUGACAUCAGGGUGUGAUGUGUAAUGCACGAGUCGAAAACACUAGGCACGUUAACUUUCUCUUAAGCUGGCGAGGAGCUAACUGAUCUCUGCUUCAUUACAUUUUGCACAUAUUUUUUCAUUGCGAACAUUGAUCUGCCAAAAUACCUGGUAAAAGAGUCA